GAUGAACGCUGGCGGCGUGCCUAAUACAUGCAAGUCGAGCGAACAGACGAGGAGCUUGCUCCUCUGACGUUAGCGGCGGACGGGUGAGUAACACGUGGAUAACCUACCUAUAAGACUGGGAUAACUUCGGGAAACCGGAGCUAAUACCGGAUAAUAUAUUGAACCGCAUGGUUCAAUAGUGAAAGACGGUUUUGCUGUCACUUAUAGAUGGAUCCGCGCCGCAUUAGCUAGUUGGUAAGGUAACGGCUUACCAAGGCAACGAUGCGUAGCCGACCUGAGAGGGUGAUCGGCCACACUGGAACUGAGACACGGUCCAGACUCCUACGGGAGGCAGCAGUAGGGAAUAUUCCGCAAUGGGCGAAAGCCUGACGGAGCAACGCCGCGUGAGUGAUGAAGGUCUUCGGAUCGUAAAACUCUGUUAUUAGGGAAGAACAAAUGUGGAAGUAACUAUGCACGUCUUGACGGUACCUAAUCAGAAAGCAACGGCUAACUACGUG
rnacentral:rRNA from 1 species